rnacentral:rRNA from 1 species
AUUGAACGCUGGCGGCAGGCCUAACACAUGCAAGUCGAGCGGAUGAAGGGAGCUUGCUCCUGGAUUCAGCGGCGGACGGGUGAGUAAUGCCUAGGAAUCUGCCUGGUAGUGGGGGAUAACGUCCGGAAACGGGCGCUAAUACCGCAUACGUCCUGAGGGAGAAAGUGGGGGAUCUUCGGACCUCACGCUAUCAGAUGAGCCUAGGUCGGAUUAGCUAGUUGGUGGGGUAAAGGCCUACCAAGGCGACGAUCCGUAACUGGUCUGAGAGGAUGAUCAGUCACACUGGAACUUGAUGACGGUCCAGCCUCCUACGGGAGGCAGCAGUGGGGAAUAUUGGACAAUGGGCGAAGGCUUGAUAAAGACAUGCCGCGUGUGUGAAGAAGGUUUUCUGAUUGUAAUGCUCUUUAAGUUGGGAGGAAGGGCAGUGAGUUAAUAACUUGCUGUUUUGACGUUACCAACAGAGUAAGCAACGGCAAACUUCGUG